CCAUCUGACGGAUUGGGAUCACAUUUUUGGAGCAGCAUUUGGACAUAAUUUUUACUCAGCGUACCAAUCUGGCCUAUUUAUGAUAGAAAUGUGUCUUUUCAUCCCCGCCGUAUACCAAAUUUGGUGUCGAUAGAGUCAGUCUUUCAAAAGUUCUAUUCAUUUUACUGUUUUUCACAUUAUGCUAAUUAGCAAAACAAUCUAGGUAGACUCCUCCUUGAACCGGCACCUUAUCGUGGUGGAGGGGUUUGAGCACCUGAAUGAUCCGAGGAGCUAUGUUGUCCGGGGCUUAAUGCCCCUGGUAGGGUCUCCCAAGGCAAACAGGUCCUAGGUGACGGGUCAGACUAAGAUCGGUUCACUCGCCCCUGAUGAAAGUCAUACUACCAAGGACGUGCACGUCGCCUGGAUCGGCGUCACCGGGGCCCCACCCUGGAGCCAGGCCCGGGGUUGGGGCUCGCAGGCGAGCGCCUGGUGGCCGGGUCUCUGCCCACGGGACCCGGCCGGGCGCAGCCCGAACGAGCAACGUGGGCCCGCCCUCCCGUGGGCUCACCACUCGCGGGAGGGUUCAGAAGGGGCCGGUGCAGAGGGAUAUGGGUGGCGGUCGUGGGCGGGGGCCCCGGCGGCCCGAUCCCCGGAUGGUGACUCUAGCCAUGGGGACAUGGAAUGUCACCUCACUGGGGGGGAAAGAGCCUGAGCUGGUGCGGGAGGUUGAGCGGUACCGACUAGAAAUAGUCGGUCUCACCUCCACGCACAGCCUGGGCUCUGGAACCCAACUCCUUGAGAGAGGCUGGACUUUCUUCCACUCUGGAGUUGCCCGCGGCGAGAGGCGGCGAGCUGGUGUAGGCUUGCUUAUAGCCCCCCAGCUCAGCCGCCAUGUGUUGGAGUUCUCCCCGGUGAACGAGAGGGUCGUUUCCCUGCGCCUUCGGGUCGGGGAUAGGGCUCUCACCGUUGUCUCGGCUUAUGGGCCGAACAGCGGUGCAGAGUACCCGGCCUUCUUGGAGUCCCUGGGAGGGGUACUGGAGAGUGCUCCAACCGGGGACUCCGUCGUUCUCCUGGGGGACUUCAACGCCCACGUGGGCGAUGACAGUGUUACCUGGAGGGGUGUGAUUGGGAGGAACGGCCUCCCCGAUCUGAACCCGAGUGGUGUUUUGUUACUG
rnacentral:lncRNA from 1 species